UACGUAGGGGGCGAGCGUUGUCCGGAAUGACUGGGCGUAAAGCGCGCGCAGGCGGUUUCUUGCGUCUGAGGUGAAAGUCGAUGGCUCAACCAUCGGAUGGCCUUGGAAACGGGGGAACUUGAGGGUCGGAGAGGCAAGGGGAAUUCCACGUGUAGCGGUGAAAUGCGUAGAUAUGUGGAGGAAUACCAGUGGCGAAGGCGCCUUGCUGGACGAAACCUGACGCUGAGGCGCGAAGGCGUGGGGAGCAAACAGG
rnacentral:rRNA from 1 species